UAAAGCAGCGGGGCUCUUUACUAUUGAAUUAAAGUGGGACGCUCAAGAGGAUGAUCGGGCCGUAUACAGAAUUUAUG
rnacentral:tRNA from 1 species